GAUGAACGCUGGCGGCGUGCCUAAUACAUGCAGGUCGAGCGAACGGACGAGAAGCUUGCUUCUCUGAUGUUAGCGGCGGACGGGUGAGUAACACGUGGAUAACCUACCUAUAAGACUGGGAUAACUUCGGGAAACCGGAGCUAAUACCGGAUGAUAUUUUGAACCGCAUGGUUCAAAAGUGAAAGACGGUCUUGCUGUCACUUAUAGAUGGAUCCGCGCUGCAUUAGCUAGUUGGUAAGGUAACGGCUUACCAAGGCAACGAUGCAUAGCCGACCUGAGAGGGUGAUCGGCCACACUGGAACUGAGACACGGUCCAGACUCCUACGGGAGGCAGCAGUUGGGAAUCUUCCGCAAUGGGCGAAAGCCUGACGGAGCAACGCCGCGUGAGUGAUGAAGGUCUUCGGAUCGUAAAACUCUGUUAUUAGGGAAGAACAUAUGUGUAAGUAACUGUGCACAUCUUGACGGUACCUAAUCAGAAAGCCACGGCUAACUACGUG
rnacentral:rRNA from 1 species